rnacentral:misc_RNA from 1 species
GAUGAAGAACGUAGCGAAAUGCGAUAAGUAGUGUGAAUUGCAGAAUUCCGUGAAUCAUCGAAUCUUUGAACGCACAUUGCGCCUUCUGGUAUUCCGGAAGGCAUGCCUGUUCGAGAGUCAUUAACAACCGUUUCGAUCCCUUUCUUUCAGAAAUUACAAAGAGGAUAAGGGUUUGGUUAUGGUGGAGGAGGGAAAGGGAGCGUUUAGCCUGUAAAAAAAGAGGCUGUGUUCCGCCUCCCCCCCAAAAUUGUACAGGCGGUCGUGUGCGCCCACGCAUCGAGGUGUUGUAAAAGCUGCCACGGCACUUUUCACCUGUGCAGUGCGAGAUUGGCCAGCCGGUUUAAAAACCCCUCCAAACAAUCAAAGGUUGACCUCGGAUCAGGUAGGGAUACCCGCUGAACUUAAGCAUAUCAAUAAGCGGAGGA